rnacentral:rRNA from 1 species
UACAGAGGUCUCAAGCGUUGUUCGGAUUCAUUGGGCGUAAAGGGUGCGUAGGCGGCGCGGUAAGUCGGGUGUGAAAUCUCGGAGCUUAACUCCGAAACUGCAUUCGAUACUGCCGUGCUUGAGGACUGGAGAGGAGACUGGAAUUUACGGUGUAGCAGUGAAAUGCGCAGAUAUCAGGAGGAACACCGGUGGCGAAGGCGGUUCUCUGGGCAUGUCCUGACGCUGAGGAGCGAAAGUGUGGGGAGCGAACAGG